AUUGAACGCUGGCGGAAUGCCUUACACAUGCAAGUCGAACGGCAGCACGGGUGCUUGCACCUGGUGGCGAGUGGCGAACGGGUGAGUAAUACAUCGGAACGUGCCCAGUAAUGGGGGAUAACACAGCGAAAGCUGUGCUAAUACCGCAUACGCCCUGAGGGGGAAAGCGGGGGAUCGAAAGACCUCGCGUUAUUGGAGCGGCUGAUGCCUGAUUAGCUAGUUGGUAGGGUAAAGGCCUACCAAGGCGACGAUCAGUAGCUGGUCUGAGAGGAUGGUCAGCCACACUGGAACUGGGACACGGUCCAGACUCCUACGGGAGGCAGCAGUGGGGAAUUUUGGACAAUGGGGGAAACCCUGAUCCAGCCAUUCCGCGUGAGUGAAGAAGGCCUUCGGGUUGUAAAGCUCUUUCGGCAGGGAAGAAACGCUCUGGGUUAAUAACCUGGGGUAAUGACGGUACCUGAAGAAGAAGCACCGGCUAACUACGUGCCAGCCGCCGCGGUAA
rnacentral:rRNA from 1 species